UUCCGAAUGAGACAACUCGCUGUAUUGAAGAUGCAGCCCAUGGCCAACGGGGGGAACUGAAACAUCUAAGUACCCCCAGGAAAAGAAAACAAGAGUGAUUCCGCAAGUAGUGGCGAGCGAACGCGGAACAGCCCAAACCGCUGUGGUUACGGCCAUAGCGGGGUUGUAGGACUGGCGUAAUAAUUUAAAAAUGAAUUGGAAUGACUUGGGAAAGUCAGCCGCAGAGGGUGAGAGCCCCGUACAAGUAAGUUUUUAAGUUUGGCUAGUAUCCUGAGUAGGUCGGAGCCGGUGAAACUCCGAUUGAAUCUGCCAGCACCAUCUGGUAAGGCUAAAUACUCCUGGGAGACCGAUAGCGAACAAGUACCGUGAGGGAAAGGUGAAAAGCACUGUGAAUAACAGGGUGAAAUAGAACCUGAAACUGUACGCCUACACACGGUCGGAGCCCUUUAGUGGGGUGACGGCGUGCCUUUUGCAUAAUGAGCCUACGAGUUACUCUUCACUGGCAAGGUUAAGAAUUUAAGGUUCGGAGCCGUAGCGAAAGCGAGUCUGAAUAGGGCGUGAUAGUCAGUGGAGGUAGACGCGAAACCAAGUGAUCUACCCUUGGGCAGGUUGAAGUUCUGGUAACACAGGAUGGAGGACCGAACCAGUUGACGUUGAAAAGUCUUUGGAUGACCUGAGGGUAGGGGUGAAAGGCCAAUCAAACUUGGAAAUAGCUCGUACUCCCCGAAAUGCUUUUAGGAGCAGCGUGGAGGUUUAGUUUAACGGAGGUAGAGCUACCGAUUGGAUGCGGGGGAGUCAAAUCCUACCAAAUCCAGACGAACUCCGAAUGCCGUUAAAUAUACUCUGCAGUGAGGGUGUGGGUGCUAAGGUCCACAUCCGAAAGGGAAAGAACCCGGACCAUCGGCUAAGGUCCCCAAAUCUAUGUUAAGUUGAACAAAGGUAGUCCAAUCGCGGAGACAGCCAGGAUGUUAGCUUGGAAGCAGCUAUUCAUUUAAAGAGUGCGUAACAGCUCACUGGUCGAGUGAUAGGGCAUCGAUAAUAAUCGGGCAUCAAACAUAGUACCGAAGCCGUGGAUUAAUGUAAAUUAGUGGUAGGGGAGCAUUCCAGCGACGGUGAAGCAGCAUGGUGAUGUGCUGUGGAGUUUCUGGAAAAGCAAAUGUAGGCAUAAGUAACGAUAAGGCAGGUGAGAAACCUGCCCGCCGCAAGACCAAGGUUUCCUCAGCAAUGCUAAUCAGCUGAGGGUUAGUCAGGGCCUAAGGAGAACCCGAAAGGGGCAUCUAAUGGACAACAGGUUAAUAUUCCUGUACCUGCUAUAGGUUAAAAGUGACGGAGAGUGUAAUUUGUUGCGUCCUGAGGUAAUAGGACGUUGAAGGCAUCUGCUGACAGUACUGCAAUACUUCGGUAGCGCAGAUAAUACAGAGAGCACUCUUCCAAGAAAAGCGACUAUAGCAGCCUGUACCGCAAACCGACACAGGUGGUUGGGUUGAGCAUACUAAGGCGCUCGAGUGAUUCAUGGCUAAGGAACUAGGCAAAAUCGUCCUGUAACUUCGGGAGAAAGGACGCCGUCUCGCAAGAGCGGUAGCAUUAAAAAGGCCCAGGCGACUGUUUAACAAAAACACAUGGCUUUGCGAAGUGGAAACACGAAGUAUAAGGCCUGACACCUGCCCGGUGCCGGAAGGUUAAGGGGGGGCGUUAGUCUUCGGACGAAGCGCUGAACUGAAGCCCCGGUAAACGGCGGCCGUAACUAUAACGGUCCUAAGGUAGCGAAAUUCCUUGUCGGGUAAGUUCCGACCUGCACGAAUGGUGCAACGAUCUGGGCACUGUCUCAGCCAUGAGCUCGGUGAAAUUGUAGUGCCGGUGAAGAUGCCGGCAACCCGCAACGGGACGAAAAGACCCCAUGAACCUUUACUACAGCUUCGCAUUGGCAUUGGGUAAUGGAUGUGUAGGAUAGGCGGGAGAUAAUGAAGCGGCGUCGCCAGGCGUCGUGGAAUCAACCUUGAAAUACCGCCCUUCUAUUAUCUGAUGUCUAACGGGAUGACCGGACAUUGCGUGGUGGGUAGUUUGACUGGGGUGGUCGCCUCCAAAAGAGUAACGGAGGCUUUCCAAGGUUCCCUCAAUACGGUUGGCAAUCGUAUGCAGAGUGUAAUGGCACAAGGGAGCUUGACUGUGAGACUAACAAGUCGAUCAGGUACGAAAGUAGGACAUAGUGAUCCGGUGGUUCCGCAUGGAAGGGCCAUCGCUCAAAGGAUAAAAGGUACUCUGGGGAUAACAGGCUGAUCUCCCCCAAGAGCUCAUAUCGACGGGGAGGUUUGGCACCUCGAUGUCGGCUCGUCACGUCCUGGGGCUGGAGAAGGUCCCAAGGGUUGGGCUGUUCGCCCAUUAAAGUGGCACGCGAGCUGGGUUCAGAACGUCGUGAGACAGUUCGGUCUCUAUCUGUUGUGGGCGUGAGAAGCUUGAGAGGCUCUGACUUUAGUACGAGAGGACCGAGUUGGACUAACCUCUGGUGAAUCAGUUGUGGUGACCGCUGCAUUGCUGAGUAGCUACGUUGGGAAAGGAUAAGCGCUGAAAGCAUCUAAGCGCGAAACCGACCUCGAGAUGAGGCUUCUUUAAAGGAGGGUUGUAGAUGACGACCUUGAUAGGCUGCAGGUGUACGCAUUGAGAGAUGUUUAGCCGAGCAGUACUAAUGAUCCGUAACUUUCUGAUG
rnacentral:rRNA from 1 species